UAUAUCGAAUACAAAUUGGACUUCGUUUGGGACUAUAGGGAAAUUACGUUACGUGCGAAAGUACGAUAAGAAAAUACUAUAUUUGUUUCCGUAUAUAAUAUUAUGUUCUGCAUAUCACGAUGAAUCGAUAACGAUAUAUUUUCUGUGGUCCUACGGAAGAACACAAAAGUAUGUCCCUACAUAUUUAUACCCUGACUCCAUUUCAUCUGAUAGCGUCAGAUAGACCCUAGUACCAAACCAAAUCUUAAAAUCUUAGCCCCAUAUACAGCAUCUAUAUUUGUUUCCGUAUAUAAUAUUAUGUUCACCCUGACUCUAUUUCAUCUAAUAGUGUCAGAUAGACCAUAGUACCAAACCAAAUCUUAAAAUCUUAGCCCAUAUACAGCAUUAGAGGUUUUCUGCCUAUGGGCUUAAGCUUUUGAUUUUUUUUUUAUUUUUAUUUUUAUUUUUAUUUUUAUUUUUAUUUUUGUGAGAGAUAGGUAGCACACUACCCGUUUCGUUUAUUUCAUUUAGAAAUAAAUUAAGCUGGAAAUGUGAAUUAAUUAGAAUUCGAACUAGGGAUCUCGGAUACCAACCACCAAAUCCUUUACCACUUGUUCUAGGGACGGUCGGUUAAGCAGAACUUAAGUUUAC
rnacentral:lncRNA from 1 species